AAUAUUUAUCAUCGCCGUGCGCCGUUUGCAAGAACAUACUUAUCCCGUUGGAUUACAUUGGCCGGCCGCGUCUCCUGCACCUGCCGGGAGCGAACUGUUGAGCGUGCGCAGCCGGGUUCAUUGAGCGGCAAGUACCACCAGAACGAGGAAGGACACUUCCUGAUCGGGAGACCGUUAACUGUCGCAACAUCUGGGUGAUUCUAAGGAAAAUAAACUUCAACGCUAUGAGCGCUUAGAAAAAAUGCAGCAACACUUCUGGCAAAGGUGGCAGCGUGAAUAUCUGUCUGAGAUGCAGCAGAGAACAAAAUGGAAAAGCAGUACAUCAAAGCUGGACAUAGGAGAUAUGGUACUCUUGGCAGAUGUUAAUGCUCCUCCACUCUCUUGGAAGCUCGGGAGAGUACUACGCCUCAUCACGGGAGCUGAUGGAACAGCGAGAGUGGCAAACAUCACCACUAAUAAAGGCUGUGUUCACCGAUCUCUAGUAAGGCUGUGCAAGCUGCCGACAGCCGAGGAACUUCAAGGUUGAAAGUGAUCUUUCCGGGAGGAUGUUCAGACUUAACGCCUGCACAAAUAUUACGCCAAAGCACCCGCAUCAGGCGCUUGAAAAUUCUUCAUACAAUCUAUCAUGUAAUCUGUCAAUCUCAAUCUGUACUCAUGUCACUUGACCUACUAUCGUUGUACAAUUCACAUCAUUUUUUGAAUUACAUUAAUUUAUUGAGUA